rnacentral:tRNA from 1 species
GCCGGUGUGUUGUAAUGGUAGCAAACGAGCUUCCCAAGCUUGGGGCGUGGGUUCGAUUCCCAUCACCGGCUC